rnacentral:rRNA from 1 species
AACGAACGCUGGCGGCAUGCCUAACACAUGCAAGUCGAACGAGACCUUCGGGUCUAGUGGCGCACGGGUGCGUAACGCGUGGGAAUCUGCCCUUGUGUUCGGAAUAACAGUUGGAAACGACUGCUAAUACCGGAUGAUGACGUAAGUCCAAAGAUUUAUCGCCCUGGGAUGAGCCGGCGUAGGUUUAGCUAGUUGGUGGGGUAAAGGCCUACCAAGGCGACGAUCCUUAGCUGGUCUGAGAGGAGGAUCAGCCACACUGGGACUGAGACACGGCCCAGACUCCUACGGGAGGCAGCAGUGGGGAAUAUUGGACAAGGGGCGAAAGCCUGAUCCAGCAAGGCCGCGUGAGUGAUGAAGGCCUUGGGGUUGUAAAGCUCUUUUACCCGGGAUGAUAAUGACAGUACCGGGAGAAUAAGCCCCGGCUAACUCCGUG